rnacentral:rRNA from 1 species
AUUGAACGCUGGCGGCAUGCUUUACACAUGCAAGUCGAACGGUAACAGGCCGCAAGGUGCUGACGAGUGGCGAACGGGUGAGUAAUGCAUCGGAACGUGCCCAGUCGUGGGGGAUAACUACUCGAAAGAGUAGCUAAUACCGCAUACGAUCUAUGGAUGAAAGCGGGGGACCGUAAGGCCUCGCGCGAUUGGAGCGGCCGAUGUCAGAUUAGGUAGUUGGUGGGGUAAAGGCUCACUAAGCCAACGAUCUGUAGCUGGUCUGAGAGGACAACCAGCCACACUGGGACUGAGACACGGCCCAGACUCCUACGGGAGGCAGCAGUGGGGAAUUUUGGACAAUGGGCGCAAGCCUGAUCCAGCAAUGCCGCGUGCAGGAAGAAGGCCUUCGGGUUGUAAACUGCUUUUGUACGGAACGAAACGGCUCUGGUUAAUACCCGGGGCUAAUGACGGUACCGUAAGAAUAAGCACCGGCUAACUACGUG